UCUCAGCAGAUUUAAUCCCCGA
rnacentral:miRNA from 1 species